GAGUUUGAUCCUGGCUCAGGAUGAACGCUGGCGGCGUGCCUAAUACAUGCAAGUCGAGCGAACGGACGAGAGGCUUGCUUCUCUGAUGUUAGCGGCGGACGGGUGAGUAACACGUGGAUAACCUACCUAUAAGACUGGGAUAACUUCGGGAAACCGGAGCUAAUACCGGAUAAUAUUUUGAACCGCAUGGUUCAAAAGUGAAAGACGGUCUUGCUGUCACUUAUAGAUGGAUCCGCGCUGCAUUAGCUAGUUGGUAAGGUAACGGCUUACCAAGGCAACGAUGCAUAGCCGACCUGAGAGGGUGAUCGGCCACACUGGAACUGAGACACGGUCCAGACUCCUACGGGAGGCAGCAGUA
rnacentral:rRNA from 1 species